rnacentral:lncRNA from 1 species
GAAGCCAGGCCAAGAAGAAUCCCAGGACUGGAAGGCCUUGUGGGACGUCCCAGGUUUGUCUUGUGUCAAUAGCACUGAUACUCAAUCUCCUACUCCCAUCUGUGAGCAUGCAGACCCUACUUGCCUUCCCACAGCCUCCCUUUUCAUAUUUUUCAUGUUUCUUUAGCUCUGUCUUCAAGCCUUGUUGCUCCCGCAAAAAAACCUGCCUCUUCCUCCAGUCCUCCCAAGCAGGGGGAACAGUCCUGACACCUUUCCAAGCCCUGGUCCAUGGACAUUGUGCCCCCUUCUCCCUGCCCAUGGUGACCUGCUCCAAAACCCUCAAGGAGAAGGGAGUGUAUGUCAUUUCCUCCCUGUAAAGUAAAGAUAAUUUUGCAGGGGACUGUGUGGAUGAAAUGACAUGAUGCAUGGAAAUCCCUUAGCGUGUGCCUGGCAUGUAAACUGCAGGUGUCAUCAUUAUUACUGAGGAAUACUGAGUCCCGAACAUGGCUGUCUCAUUGGUGGACUGGGGUCUCCCCCAGGGCAUUCAUCUACUAUGUGUUUAUUGCACCCUUUUUCCAUGUGAGGCACAUGCCAGGGACUGGGCACAUGGUAUGAACAAGACACAGGUCAUCGGUGUCCUCUUGAGCUCCCUGGCUUGGCAGCAGAUGCAUACCUGGGAAGGAUGCUAGGUCAUCCGGGAACUCUACCUCCUUCAAAUCCCUAAGGACUGUGCUCCCAAUCCGCUUACGCUCAAGGAAGAACUGCCUGGAAGCCCUCCCUGGUACCAUACCCCAGCCGAUGAGUAUGUACCCCCAGAAGUACUUCCGCUCAGAGAAGAAGGAGACGGCAAGCAGGGUGUACAGGAAGGCCCAGAACCAGCCUGCUGUCAGGAUCAGAACAAAAGAGGAGGACUGCAUAUGUAUGGACCCACUCCAGAUGGCACGGGGACGGGGGGAGUAGGAAAAGUGGCAUGGUCCCUUCCCGUGGAUAUAAUUCUUCCCAGGCCUGUUGUGUGAGUUGGUGAUGCCAUCAUUCCUGCCUCACACUUGCAAACUUCCCUCUUUGGAAUUUCAGAGACCAGGCCCACAGAGUAUGGCUGUGCAAGUUGUUCACUCUACAAGGGCACCUGGCCGGGGUCUUACCUUGAAUGGAGGAGAAGAGCUUGAAGAUGAGGGGACAGGCCAAGACAACUACCUGGCCCCGAGGGGUGGCUGGCCAGCAGAUGAGGAAAUGGAGGCACAGACUGAUUAGAAAACCAGCUCAAGGUCAUGUUGCUGCUCUCUCAUUCCUGUUGAGGGCUCUCUGGUGGAGCCUCUGUCUCACAGGUCACCUGCAGGCCAACACUCCCAGAAGCAGCUAGCACCAUGGUUGACCUCGUCCAGGUCCAGGGAAGGCCUCCCUCUCCAGGACUCCUUUAGAUUUCCCCAGCAUCCAGACCUCACCUGCCUAAGUGCUGUUGCCCUGGAAGCCACAGUGAGCACGAGCUCCAUCUUGCACCUUUACCAGCCAAUGGGGGUAAAGACAUUAGCUGAAAUACUUCUAAGGGGCCAGGCGUGGUGACUCAUGCUUGUAAUUCCAAGCACUUUGGGAGGCUGAGGCAGGUGGAUCACCUGAAGCCAGGAGUUCAAGAGCAGCCUGGCCAACAUGGCGAAACCCUGUCUCUACUAAAAAUACAAAAUUUAGCCAGGCAUGGUGGCGGGAGCCUGUAAUCUCAGCUCCUAGGGAGGCUGAGCCAGAAGAAUCGCUUAAACCUGGAAGCUGGAGGUUGCAGUGAGCCAAGAUCACACCACCACACUCCAGCCUGGGUGACAGAGCAAGACUCCAUCUCAAAAAGAAAAAAAAGAAAAAAAGGAAAUACUUCUAAGUUAUGUGAGAGAGUACAUACUGACAUUUUCAAUGGGUACAAUAA